rnacentral:rRNA from 1 species
UACGGGGGGAGCAAGCGUUGUUCGGAUUUACUGGGCGUAAAGGGCGCGUAGGCGGCGUGACAAGUCACUUGUGAAAUCUCCGGGCUUAACUCGGAACGGUCAAGUGAUACUGUCGUGCUAGAGUACAGAAGGGGCAACUGGAAUUCUCGGUGUAGCGGUGAAAUGCGUAGAUAUCAGGAGGAACACCAAUGGCGAAAGGCAGCUCGCUGGGACGGUACUGACGCUGAGACGCGAAAGCGUGGGGAGCAAACAGG